GGAGGCAGCACUGUGUGGAGAAAGGGAGAUAGAGUGAAGCCUGCCCCUCGCCCAGCCCACCCCCGCUGAGCUCUCAAGCUGUUUCCAAACUAGGUUCCACCUCCAGUGCCCAUCUGGCCUGGCUGCUGGAGGGCAAUUGGGCAGUUUGAGAGCCCUAUGUGAGGCCAGGAAGAGGUGUUUUGUGGACCAUUGGCUUUGGGGUCAUCUGAAGUAGAUACUGGAGAGAGACAGAGAGAGACAGAGAGAGGAUGAAAAGGUGAAGCCCAUUUGGUGGACAUGGGACCUCUCAUCAGCCCUCAGCGGUCUCCACAAACAGUCCUGAGGCCAGCUCUGUGACGUGCACAGAGUAGAUAUUAUGGCUGUUCUGCAAAUGAAGAAAUUGAGGUCCAGAGAAGCAGCAUGACUUCCCGAAGUUGGAGACAGGACACAGAAGAACUGAGAUAAGCUCCGUGCUUCGUGGAAGCCUUUGCUGACCUUGGCCCUACUGGGUCAUUUCCCUUCUCCUUUCCUGGCAACCUAGUUCCAGACCUCAGAGCUGAGUGGAAUACCACGGGAGAGGAGCUGUGAUGAAUUAGGUCAAGGGAACAGCUGAUGCAUGGGACUGUCAGUCCUGUGAGAGACCCAGCCAGGGAUAUGCUCCUGGGACAUGCAGCAUGGAUGGCUCUGGCCUUGUAGGAAGAAGAGAAAUGGCUCCACAAGGAGGAGCCCUGAGAAGGCAAACACAGCUCACACCAUCAUCUGUCAGGAUUAGCUUGACCUGGGUCUGGUUCCACGCUGCAGCCUGGGCCACAAGGCAGAGCAACACUCCGUGGCUCCUGUGUGAAUCGAGCUGACAACCCCAGUCUUGUUCCUUUGGUCCCCAUCAAAAUCGUACUGGACAACUACAGACCUCUGCAGAGCAAGAAAAGCUCGAGAGCAAGGGCUGCCCAUGGCCUCAAUCCAUCAGGACAAGACAAGAGGCUACUGACGCUGCCUGGGAGACGCCGAGCCCUGUGAAGCGUACGCGUGUCAAGAGAGCGAGGAUUCCUCCUCACACACCCAUCUUCUGCCUGCUUCUCUUUGUUCUGUGUUCACCUGCACCCUGGAGGUUUUGCUGUGGUCAAGGUACUUUAAAUGGAGUAUUUGGUGCCCCAAACGUGCAUUACAACGUGGCGAAGAGGAGGAACAGACGUCUGUAUAAACCAACAUAAGAAUGAAGCCAAUCUCAGGUGCUGGGGUUGGGAGUUGAACCCUGCGAUCCUCCAGCUACAAGUGACAUUUGAGACUACCCAGGCCAAUCCCUUGCCUUUGAAGGAUGGAGACCCCUGGCUCCAGGUCACCCCAGUUAGUGAAAAACCAAGACCCGGGAGCCACUCUCUUUGUCUCUCCAGGCACAGACUGAGGGGUUAAUUAUGGAUGGAUCAAACAAAGAGCAGCCCAUAGAGACCCCCAAAAGCAAAGCAUUCCAUCAGGAUGGAAAAAAGACUGUCGGCAAACUCAGAAAGAAGAGGGAGAUGAAGUGGGAGAGAGGGACAAGAAGACGGAGUUGAGCAGAGAAGCUGAGAUUUCAUGGAAAACAAAUGAAGGAAGAUUCUGGCCCAUUAGACUCAUGGUGGUUAAACCUGUAGGCUUUUGACGCUGCUUAGUUGAAGCACCGGUCCCUUUCUAAGAGGCAGUUGACUCAACAUUUUGAGCCUUAGUUUCCCCACCUGUAAAUAGGAUAAUUGUACCUCUCCUGAAGAGUCAUGAGUAGCCGGUGCAUGAGGUAGUUGGUGUUUUCCCAGGCUUCAUCAGCCGGUGUGGUCACGCUGACAAGAAGCACUCUGUUGGUGGGAACUAUUGUAUGAUUCUAAACACCUCCUUUUGGAGGACCUGGGUGCUUCAGUCGCUUAAGUGUCUGC